rnacentral:rRNA from 1 species
ACUCCUACGGGAGGCAGCAGUGGGGAAUAUUGGACAAUGGGCGCAAGCCUGAUCCAGCCAUGCCGCGUGAGUGAUGAAGGCCCUAGGGUUGUAAAGCUCUUUCACCGGUGAAGAUAAUGACGGUAACCGGAGAAGAAGCCCCGGCUAACUUCGUGCCAGCAGCCGCGGUAAUACGAAGGGGGCUAGCGUUGUUCGGAUUUACUGGGCGUAAAGCGCACGUAGGCGGACUAUUAAGUCAGGGGUGAAAUCCCGGGGCUCAACCCCGGAACUGCCUUUGAUACUGGUAGUCUUGAGUUCGAGAGAGGUGAGUGGAAUUCCGAGUGUAGAGGUGAAAUUCGUAGAUAUUCGGAGGAACACCAGUGGCGAAGGCGGCUCACUGGCUCGAUACUGACGCUGAGGUGCGAAAGCGUGGGGAGCAAACAGGAUUAGAAACCCCGGUAGUCC